GAAUGUGAGGGCAAUCUGGGUGCAAUAUCUGUCACCCCACUGAUCGCCAGGGCUGAUUCAUCUGAUCUGACUGUCUAGGCAGGUAUGCCCCCCUGAAGCUGCACAAUUGGCCAGUCCUCAGUUGAUGGAAGAGGACAACCUUCCCCAAUAGAAGAGAACUUGUCUUUGGUUGAGGGCAUAUGAGUAGCUGCGCUCCCCUGAUAGAACCUCCAAACAAGCUCUCAAUUACCCUCUGAUUUUUUUGAGGCAGAGUCUCUCACUGAACCUAGAAGCACAUGAUUUGCCUA
ensembl:misc_RNA 7SK 7SK RNA